UACGGAGGGGGCUAGCGUUGUUCGGAAUUAUUGGGCGUAAAGGGUGCGUAGGCGGUUUGGUAAGUCUCGUGUGAAAUCUCCGGGCUCAACUCGGAGCCUGCACGAGAAACUGCCGGGCUUGAGUGUGGGAGAGGUGAGUGGAAUUCCUGGUGUAGCGGUGAAAUGCGUAGAUAUCAGGAGGAACACCUGUGGCGAAAGCGGCUCACUGGACCAUAACUGACGCUGAUGCACGAAAGCUAGGGGAGCAAACAGG
rnacentral:rRNA from 1 species